GACGAACGCUGGCGGCGUGCCUAAUACAUGCAAGUCGGACGGAGCGGCGGACGGGUGCGUAAUGCCUAGGACUCUGCCUGGUAGUGGGGGAUAACGUCCGGAAGCGGGAGCUAUUAUCGCAUACUAUCAGAAGAGCCUAGGUCGGAUUAGGUAGUGGGUGGGGUAAAGGCAUACCAGGGCGACGAUCCGUAACUGGUCUGAGAGGAUGAUCAGUAAAACUGGAACUGAGACACGGUCCAGACUCCUACGGGAGGCAGCAGUGGGGAAUAUUGGACAAUGGGCGAAAGCCUGAUGCAGCCAUGCCGCGGGUGUGAAGAAGGUCUUCGGAUUUUAAAGUACUUUAAGUAGGGAGGCGGUACCAACAGAAUAAGCACCGGCUAACUUCGUGCCAGCAGCCGCGGUAAUUC
rnacentral:rRNA from 1 species